rnacentral:rRNA from 1 species
GACGAACGCUGGCGGCGUGCUUAACACAUGCAAGUCGAACGGAAAGGCCCUGCUUUUGUGGGGUGCUCGAGUGGCGAACGGGUGAGUAACACGUGAGUAUCCUGCCCUUGACUUUGGGAUAACUUCAGGAAACUGGGGCUAAUACCGGAUAUGAGCUCCUGCUGCAUGGUGGGGGUUGGAAAGUUUCGGCGGGUGGGGAUGGACUCGCGGCUUAUCAGCUUGUUGGUGGGGUAGUGGCUUACCAAGGCUUUGACGGGUAGCCGGCCUGAGAGGGUGACCGGCCACAUUGGGACUGAGAUACGGCCCAGACUACUACGGGAGGCAGCAGUGGGGAAUAUUGCACAAUGGGCGGAAGCCUGAUGCAGCAACGCCGCGUGCGGGAUGACGGCCUUCGGGUUGUAAACCGCUUUCGCCUGUGACGAAGCGUGAGUGACGGUAAUGGGUAAAGAAGCACCGGCUAACUACGUG